rnacentral:rRNA from 1 species
AAACAUCGCCUCUUGUUCACAUAAGAGGUCCAGCCUGCCCAGUGACCCAGUUCAACGGCCGCGGUAUCCUAACCGUGCAAAGGUAGCGUAAUCACUUGUUUUCUAAAUAAAGACCAGUAUGAAAGGCAUCACGAGGACUAAGCUGUCUCCUCUUUCUAAUCAGUGAAUCUAAUCUCCCCGUGAAGAAGCGGGGAAUCACCUAUAAGACGAGAAGACCCUAUGGAGCUUAAAACAUCGUGACACCUGCCACCCACUUUUAACUACCCAGGUAUUUCUUAAGCGGCACCUUGAUCAUAUGUUUUUGGUUGGGGUGACCGCGGAGAAAAACUUAUCCCCCGCGAUGAAUGGGGUUACCCCCUAAACUGUAAGUCACAACUUUAUGUACCAAUAAAUUGACAUCCAUUGACCCAAUAAAUUGAUUAACGAACCAAGUUACCCUAGGGAUAACAGCGCAAUCCACUUUGAGAGCCCCUAUCGACAAGUGGGCUUACGACCUCGAUGUUGGAUCGGGGUAUCCUAGUGGUGCAGCCGCUACUAAGGGUUCGUUUGUUCAACGAUUAAAACCCCACGUGAUCUGA